GUACACGCUGUGACUAGCAUAUCAAUAAGCGGAGGAAAAGAAACUAACAAGGAUUCCCCUAGUAACGGCGAGUGAAGCGGGAAGAGCUCAAAUUUGAAAUCUUAAAGGGUUUCCCUUUACGAAUUGUAGUUUAAAGAAGUGUUUUCUGUUGAGGUUUUGGUAAAAGUUCUUUGGAAUAGGACAUCAUAGAGGGUGAGAAUCCCGUAUUUGACCUUUAGCUUUCAACUUUGUGAUACACUUUCAAAGAGUCGGAUUGUUUGGGAAUGCAGUCCAAAAUGGGUGGUAAAUUUCAUCUAAAGCUAAAUAUUGGCGAGAGACCGAUAGCGAACAAGUAUCGUGAGGGAAAGAUGAAAAGAACUCUGAAAAGAGAGUUAAACAGUACGUGAAAUUGUCAAAAGGGAAGCGUUUUGACACCAGUGUUGUUUUUCUGAAGAUCAAUUAAAGAACUGUUUAUGCUAAGUUGUUUAGACUUUAUCAGCUAACUGUUUAGUUUUGAGCUUUUCUUUAAUGCACUUUUCAGUUAACAAGUCAACAUCAAUUUCUUUUGCUGUAAAAAAGCUUGAGGAAGGUGGCUUGAGAUUCGUCUUAAGUGUUUAUAGCCUCUUGCCUAUGCAGUCGGAGAGAUUGAGGUCUGCAGCGUAGAUCCUUCGGGGCUAAAUGCAUUUGUGCUAAGUUAUAGCAUUUUAUAGACAACUUGUUGACUAUGAUUUGUCUUGUAGCUUACUCGCUUAUGUUAUUUUACCUACGCUUAGGAUGUUGACGCGCGUGUGUGCGUG
rnacentral:rRNA from 1 species